rnacentral:rRNA from 1 species
UAAGGAAUAUUGGACAAUGGCCGCAAGGCUGAUCCAGCCAUGCCGCGUGAAGGAUGAAGGUGCUAUGCAUUGUAAACUUCUUUUGUCCCGGAAUAAACCCCUGAUUUCUAUCGGGGCUGAAUGUACGGGAAGAAUAAGGGACGGCUAACUUCGUGCCAGCAGCCGCGGUAAUACGAAGGUCCCAAGCGUUAUCCGGAUUUAUUGGGUUUAAAGGGUGCGUAGGCGGGUUGUUAAGUCAGUGGUGAAAGCC